rnacentral:rRNA from 1 species
UACGAAGGGGGCUAGCGUUGUUCGGAAUUACUGGGCGUAAAGCGUGCGCAGGCGGCUGCUCAAGUCAGGGGUGAAAGCCCAGAGCUCAACUCUGGAACUGCCUUUGAGACUGAGUAGCUUGAGUACGGGAGAGGUGAGUGGAAUUCCCAGUGUAGAGGUGAAAUUCGUAGAUAUUGGGAAGAACACCGGUGGCGAAGGCGGCUCACUGGCCCGUAACUGACGCUCAUGCACGACAGCGUGGGGAUCAAACAGG